CAAAAGUCUCCGGGCAAUUAUCAUUCAUAAGCACAUAUGCUCGCGCAGCAGAUGUUUCGACAAGGUCGUUGCGCACCUCUGUGAAAAUAUGUUCAUCCUUAAGAAAACUUAAAGAUUCUAAACCAGAGAAAUUCCGGUCGUAGACACACCUGAAAGAGAAUGAAGCAACACAGUCACGUCUCUAUAACAUUUCAAUGACACAGUAAUUUCCUUUGAUGCCUUUAUAGUUAGCCGUAUUCUCAGUUAUGUUCAAAUUCCCUUUUAGGGCUGACUACAUGAGCCCGGUAGCCGGGAUUCAGCCAAGCGUUAAAUGAUUUUUGCAAAUGGAAACGAUUCAAUACUUAUCAUCAGAUAAAUCUUCUCAAGCAAUUUUACAACAUUCUGAUUUAAUAACUUCUCAAAACAUUUAAAAUUGAAACAACCAAUUUGCCAUAAUUUGAGAAUUAAAACCGGAGUGACGUGUGGUGCUUCGCAAAAAGUUGUAACUUUUAAACUUGAA